rnacentral:lncRNA from 1 species
UUAGCUCUGACAUCUCUCUGAUUCUUCACAAGGAUUUGUCUCCUCUUCUCAUCUUCAAUAUCCCUCCAAGCUCUAGCUAGCUUCUCCUUGGUAAUGUCAUGCUCCUUUGUAGACGACUCCAACGCUUGGCUGAUCUUGCGGUAAUAAGCGGUGUCUAUCUCAAAGCGCUUCACCUCCAUGGCAUGUCUCUUAUCCUGAUCUUCUAUU